rnacentral:rRNA from 1 species
CGUUUAUUUGAUAGUACCUUACUACUUGGAUAACCGKGGUAAUUCUAGAGCUAAUACAUGCUAAAAACCUCGACUUCGGAAGGGGUGUAUUUAUUARAUAAAAAACCAAKGCCCUCCGGGGCUCCUUGGUGAUUCACAAUAACUCAACGAAUCGCAKGGCCUUGCGCCGGCRAUGGUUCAUUCAAAUUUCUGCCCUAUCAACUUUCGAUGGUAGGAUAGUGGCCUACCAUGGUUUCAACGGGUAACGGGRAAUUAGGGUUCUAUUCCGGARAGGGAGCCUGARAAACGGCUACCACAUCCAAGGAAGGCAGCAGGCGCGCAAAUUACCCAAUCCCGACACGGGGAGGUAGKGACAAUAAAUACUGAUGCGRAGCUCAUUAGGGUUUCGCAAUUGGAAUGAGUACAAUUUAAAUCCCUUAACGAGGAACAAUUGGAGGGCAAGUCUGGUGCCAGCASCCGCGGUAAUUCCAGCUCCAAUAGCGWAUAUUAAAGUUGUUGCAGUUAAAAAGCUCGUAGUUGAACCUUGGGCCUGGYUGGCCGGUCCGCCUCACCGCGUGCACUGGUCCGGCCGGGCCUUUCCUUCCGGGRAGCCGCAUGCCCUUCACUGGGUGUGCCGGGRAACCGGGACUUUUACUUUGAAAAAAUUAGAGUGUUCAAAGCAGGCCUAUGCUCGAAUACAUUAGCAUGGAAUAAUGGAAUAGGACGUGUGGUUCUAUUUUGUUGGUUUCUAGGACCGCCGUAUGW